rnacentral:rRNA from 1 species
UGCUUGCACCGCCUGAUUAGUGGCGAACGGGUGAGUAACACGUGAGUAACCUGCCCUCCACUUCGGGAUAACCUCGGGAAAUCGUGGCUAAUACCGGAUAUGAGCACUCAUCGCAUGGUGGGUGUUGGAAAGAUUUAUCGGUGGGGGAUGGACUCGCGGCCUAUCAGUUUGUUGGUGAGGUGAUGGCUCACCAAGACGAUGACGGGUAGCCGGCCUGAGAGGGCGACCGGCCACACUGGGACUGAGACACGGCCCAGACUCCUACGGGAGGCAGCAGUGGGGAAUAUUGCACAAUGGGCGAAAGCCUGAUGCAGCGACGCCGCGUGGGGGAUGACGGCCUUCGGGUUGUAAACCCCUUUCAGUAGGGAAGAAGCGAGAGUGACGGUACCUGCAGAAGAAGCGCCGGCUAACUACGUGCCAGCAGCCGCGGUAAUACGUAGGGCGCAAGCGUUGUCCGGAAUUAUUGGGCGUAAAGAGCUUGUAGGUGGCUUGUCGCGUCUGCCGUGAAAACCCGAGGCUCAACCUCGGGCGUGCGGUGGGUACGGGCAGGCUAGAGUGUGGUAGGGGAGACUGGAACUCCUGGUGUAGCGGUGAAAUGCGCAGAUAUCAGGAAGAACACCGAUGGCGAAGGCAGGUCUCUGGGCCAUUACUGACACUGAGAAGCGAAAGCAUGGGUAGCGAACAGGAUUAGAUACCCUGGUAGUCCAUGCCGUAAACGUUGGGCACUAGGUGUGGGGGACAUUCCACGUUUUCCGCGCCGUAGCUAACGCAUUAAGUGCCCCGCCUGGGGAGUACGGCCGCAGGCUAAACUCAAAGGAAUUGACGGGGG